UAUUUAAUCAGUAUAUGACGAAGCAUUUUUAUCAAACUAUCUACCUGUAUUAUACCUGUUAUAAGUAUAACCACAACUAUCACAGGAGGAUCUGUGUAUCAGGAAAACUAAAAAGAAAAAAUAAAGAUGGGCGUCAAAGUUCACGUAGAGUACUGUAGCGGGUGAGGUUACGCAGGCAAGUAUGAGGCGCUUCGUGGGCGCAUCCUUGCCGAGGUACCUGGUGCUGACGUCGUAGGGUCAAAGGGUCGCAGAACUUCAUUUGAAAUUACGAUCAAUGAUAAAGAGUUUUUUUUCUAAACUGAAGUUGAAAGGUUGGCCAAUCGAAGAGGAUCUGAUUGAGGUUAUACGGCAAGCUGAUCGUGGCAUGGAACCAAAAGAAUUAUCAACGUGCAGGAAAGCUAGUUGUGUCAUUUGUUAAACCGGGGUGUGAUUAAAAAGACGGACAUCAAAAUAUUUGUAAAAUGUAAAACAAAAAUUUUACUCGCAUUUGCCAUUUAUGUAGCUCAUUGAAGAAAUAAAAUGUAAAAACCAAAGACUUCAACAACCGAAAUAAAAAAAGUGGAACUCUUAAUAAAAAAAACAACAACAGAAAA